rnacentral:rRNA from 1 species
CCUACGGGGGGCAGCAGUGGGGAAUAUUGGACAAUGGGCGGAAGCCUGAUCCAGCCAUGCCGCGUGUGUGAAGAAGGCCUUUUGGUUGUAAAGCACUUUAAGCGAGGAGGAGGCUACUUAGAUUAAUACUCUAGGAUAGUGGACGUUACUCGCAGAAUAAGCACCGGCUAACUCUGUGCCAGCAGCCGCGGUAAUACAGAGGGUGCGAGCGUUAAUCGGAUUUACUGGGCGUAAAGCGUGCGUAGGCGGCUUUUUAAGUCGGAUGUGAAAUCCCCGAGCUUAACUUGGGAAUUGCAUUCGAUACUGGGAAGCUAGAGUAUGGGAGAGGAUGGUAGAAUUCCAGGUGUAGCGGUGAAAUGCGUAGAGAUCUGGAGGAAUACCGAUGGCGAAGGCAGCCAUCUGGCCUAAUACUGACGCUGAGGUACGAAAGCAUGGGGAGCAAACAGGAUUAGAUACCCCAGUAGUC